AUUUUAAUGAAGACAUGGUUUGUGGGUAUGCUUAUUUGGGCUCAACGAAAGUCAUUCUACCAAAAAUGAGAGAGGGAAAAGUAGGCCUCUAAUUAAUCUGUGCUUUUUAGCUAUGUAAAGUUGUGUUUUUUGUUAUCAGACAGUUCAUUAAGCUGUGUGGUAAAAUUUCUUAUGUGUCUUUUUAAAUUUUUUGAACUGGAAUUUCAUAUGGUAUUAUAAUCUUCCUGGGAUGGAUUAGUGAGUUUGUUUUGCUCAUAAGUGUGAUGAUUUCUGGUAGCAAUUGGAUUAGUUAGUUGUGUUUUUAGAUUGCUUUUGAACAUGCAUGCUGCUGGUGUUGAUAUCAUAUGGAAAAGCUAUAAUUGGUGAUGGUUCUAGUAAAUUAGUGAACAGGUGGGUGUGUCUACAUUCUACAACACUUAAUAUGUGGAACAUAAUUGUGUGUUCACUUGAAUCAUUCAAAAACUGCAAUGAUGUAGAGAUGUAGCAUGCAUGGCAAUGAAACACAAUUCUUCUUAGGUAGUGUGGCUAGUCAAGAUUGAUGUAGGAAUCUACUAUAACUGAGCCUAAAAGUUCUGUGCGAGAAGUUUUGGCAUGAUUUCUUGUGGAAAAUACUGGAGUGUCUGGUCUUUCUUUGGCACUGUGAUUUGCUUUUAUUAUUGUCUCUAACUUGUUAAAAAAUUCAACAUAGGAUUAGGGUUAUACGGUGAUAUUUUUCUAUUUUUGUGAAUUUAUCUCUUCUGCUUUCA
rnacentral:misc_RNA from 1 species